rnacentral:lncRNA from 1 species
UCGAUGCUGCCUUGUCAGACAUGGGAAGUAAUCAUUCAUUUCAUAAAAGGUAAAUACUAUCUAAUUAUUUUGUGAUAGAUCAAGAACGUUGAAUGUUCUUAGGGUGUGUUUGUUUGCAUUCACUAGCAUUCAUUAAACUGGACUAGACUAAGUGGGAGUCUAGUCUCGUGUUUGAUACAAAUUGGGACAAGUUUAAUAAUGACACUCGCCCCGACUAAACGGGACUAAGUAGUUCGCUAGGGGUUUUAGCGAGACCCCUCAAAAUUGACCGGACUGCUAAGCCCAACUCCUCCUGCUUCGUUCCUCCUUGCUUCGCCCUCCCAUCAACUUGUUGCUCGCAAGAUGUGGAACCCAGGUCCCAUAUACAAACUCUGCCUUGCUUCGCCCCUAUCAUCUACCAUUUUCAAAUCCAGAUCCCACAAAAUUGGAAACAAAAGGCAAAAAUUUCUGCAAUAUUUCCAUUUUCAAAACUAGAUCCAAAUCCAAAAUUCAUAACAAAAAAGCGAAAAAAAAAAUACAAAAUCAUUGUGCAUCUGAAACACUUAGCAGCUCUGCUCACACACUCCACCUAGUCCAGACUCCCUGAUCGCAGACCUUUGCUAUUGACGCUGGAGAAGCAGACCCAUGAAUACCCAGAUGACCCAGACUCUGAAUGGGUUCUGAUUUGCCAAUUGGGUCCUAGAAAAAAUAGGAAGAAAAGAGGGAGAUGAGCAGAGAGAAAUAGGAAGAAAAAGAUGGAGAUGAAGAGAGAGAGAGAGGGGCGAAGAAGAAAGAGGAAGAAACAGAGGGAGAGGGACGGAGCAAACUUGGAAAGAAAUGAGGAGAUUAGCGGAAAAGAAUCAGGAAUGGGGAUGGG